CCUACGGGUGGCAGCAGUGAGGACUAUUGGUCAAUGGGCGCGCGCCUGAACCAGCCAAGUAGCGUGAAGGAUGACUGCCCUACGGGUUGUACACUUCUUUUAUAAAGGAAUCAAGUGAGGCACGUGUGCCUUUUUGUAUGUACUUUAUGAUUAAGGAUCGGCUAACUCCGUGCCAGCAGCCGCGGUAAUAAGGAGGAUCCGAGCGUUAUCCGGAUUUAUUGGGUUUAAAGGGCGCGUAGGUGGAUUGUUAAGUCAGUUGUGAAAGUUUGCGGCGCAACCGUAAAAUUGCAGUUGAAACUGGCAGUCUUGAGUACAGUAGAGGUGGGCGGAAUUCGUGGUGUAGCGGUGAAAUGCUUAGAUAUCACGAAGAACUCCGAUUGCGAAGGCAGCUCACUGGACUGCAACUGACACUGAGGCUCGAAAGUGUGGGUAUCAAACAGGAUUAGAUACCCCGGUAGUC
rnacentral:rRNA from 1 species